GUUUCCGUGGUGUAAUGGUUAUCACACUAGACUUUGACUCUGAUAAUUUGAGUUCUAUUCUCAGUUAAACG
rnacentral:tRNA from 1 species